rnacentral:rRNA from 1 species
UUGCCCCUAGUACGAGAGGACCGGGGUGAACGAUCCACUGGUGGACCAGUUGUCAUGCCAAUGGCAGUGCUGGGUAGCUAUGAUCGGAAAGGAUAACCGCUGAAGGCAUCUAAGCGGGAAGCCCCCCUCGAAACAAGGUAUCCCUGAGGGCCGAGGUAGACCACCUCGUCGAUAGGCCGGAGAUGUAAGCGCAGCAAUGCGUUCAGUUGACCGGUACUAAUUGCCCGAUAGGCUUGAUUUGAUCCAG